AUCUGGAAGAAUCUGGAGACAGGUGCUGCAUGGCUGUCGUCAGCUCGUGUCGUGAGAUGUUGGGUUAAGUCCCGCAACGAGCGCAACCCUUGCCUUUAGUUGCCAGCAGUUCGGCUGGGCACUCUAAAGGGACUGCCGGUGUUAAACCGGAGGAAGGUGGGGAUGACGUCAAGUCCUCAUGGCCUUUAUGACCAGGGCUACACACGUACUACAAUGGCCGAUACAAAGGGCAGCGACACUGCGAGGUGAAGCCAAUCCCGUAAAAUCGGUCUCAGUCCGGAUUGGAGUCUGCAACUCGACUCCAUGAAGUUGGAAUCGCUAGUAAUCGUGGAUCAGCAUGCCACGGUGAAUACGUUCCCGGGCCUC
rnacentral:rRNA from 1 species